CGUUGAACUUCACUGAGAAAGAACGUUUCUAUAAUCUGGCCUGCAUCCCUGGAAGCUUCUUGCUGAACCAACCAAGAAAAGAUCAACAGAAAUAAACCCUGUUGUCCCAACCAACAAGUUGACCAAUCAAGUACCGAAGGUGAAGCUUUUCCAUCCGUUGAAGGUAACCAUGAAGAUCCAGGUGGCCGUCUUUCUGCUGGUGCUGCUGUCUGGAGUUGAGCUCUUAGAAUAUCUGAGUUUCUUUGAUAAACAUGUUGUUCAGGAAAUGGAUCCAAAAGAUUGCAAACGGAAAAUGAAAAGGAUUAAUUAUAAUCUGUCGAGAUGCAAAGAAAUAAAUACGUUCCUCUUUGAUCCUACAAAUCAGCUAAGUAGCAUUUGUUCGUCAGGUCAGUCGGAAGUAACGGUAACCGUUAAUGAAAUGGUCAACUGUAUACAUGACAAAAUAAGCGAAUAUCCCAAUUGUGUCUACAAUGGUCAAUAUGAUUAUGACAAAAACUUUAAAAUUACAUGUGAACGUGGGAGGCCUGUUCACCUAGAGAGGGCACCCAGAAGAAAUAAUGGUGGCUGACAUUUUUUUUUUUUUGUUUUUUUGUUGUUUUACCAACAACCUCCAAUAUCUUCUAAAACAUAAAAAGUUCAGGCCAAUUUCUUUAUUGAAACCUGUGUUUCCAUUUCGUACACCUUACCCAUUUACAACAGCAUGAGAAACCACAAUUGCUUGACGUGUUUCCUUCAUUGUACAAACAGCAGAUUCCUCUGCUGGAUGCUAUGUUGUCAUAACAUGUAUGUCAACUGUGUUACUCAAAUGUUCAGAGCAUUUUCUGUUUUCAUGCAGUGAAAUAUUUUCAAAUAAAUAUCAAUUAUUCUG